GGAAUUUUGGACAAUGGGCGAAAGCCUGAUCCAGCAAUGCCGCGUGAGUGAAGAAGGCCUUCGGGUUGUAAAGCUCUUUUGUCAGGGAAGAAACGGUGAAGGCUAAUAUCCUUUGCUAAUGACGGUACCUGAAGAAUAAGCACCGGCUAACUACGUGCCAGCAGCCGCGGUAAUACGUAGGGUGCAAGCGUUAAUCGGAAUUACUGGGCGUAAAGCGUGCGCAGGCGGUUUUGUAAGUCUGAUGUGAAAUCCCCGGGCUCAACCUGGGAAUUGCAUUGGAGACUGCAAGGCUAGAAUCUGGCAGAGGGGGGUAGAAUUCCACGUGUAGCAGUGAAAUGCGUAGAUAUGUGGAGGAACACCGAUGGCGAAGGCAGCCCCCUGGGUCAAGAUUGACGCUCAUGCACGAAAGCGUGGGGAGCAAACAGGAUUAGAUACCCGGG
rnacentral:rRNA from 1 species